UAUGUGAUCGUCUCUCGCAUAUCAAUAAGCGGAGGAAAAGAAACUAACAAGGAUUCCCCUAGUAACGGCGAGUGAAGCGGGAAGAGCUCAAAUUUGAAAUCUUAAAGGGUUUCCCUUUACGAAUUGUAGUUUAAAGAAGUGUUUUCUGUUGAGGUUUUGGUAAAAGUUCUUUGGAAUAGGACAUCAUAGAGGGUGAGAAUCCCGUAUUUGACCUUUACUUUCAACUUUGUGAUACACUUUCAAAGAGUCGGAUUGUUUGGGAAUGCAGUCCAAAACUGGGUGGUAAAUUUCAUCUAAAGCUAAAUAUUGGCGAGAGACCGAUAGCGAACAAGUACCGUGAGGGAAAGAUGAAAAGAACUUUGAAAAGAGAGUUAAACAGUACGUGAAAUUGUCAAGAGGGAAGCGUUUGACACCAGUGUUGUUUUUCUGAAAAUCAAUUAAAGAACUGUUUAUGCUAAGUUGUUUAGACUUUAUCAGCUAUCUGUUUAGUUUUGAGCUUUUCUUUAAUGCACUUUUCAGUUAACAAGUCAACAUCAAUUUCUUUUGCUGUAAAAAAGCUUGAGGAAGGUGGCUUGAGAUUCGUCUUAAGUGUUUAUAGCCUCUUGCCUAUGCAGUCGGAGAGAUUGAGGUCUGCAGCGUAGAUCCUUCGGGGCUAAAUGCAUUUGUGCUAAGUUAUAACAUUUUAUAGACAACUUGUUGACUAUGAUUUGUCUUGUAGCUUACUCGCUUAUGUUAUUUUACCUACGCUUAGGAUGUUGAAGUCAUCGUAUCGCGC
rnacentral:rRNA from 1 species